rnacentral:lncRNA from 1 species
AUUAAAUAAUAUUUAGAUAAAAUUACCAAUCAGCUUUUUGGAAUGUUAUAAAACUAAUCACAGCUAAAACUCAGAAAACAAUUUUAAUCGAUUCAAAAAGCAAUUCAAUUCAUAGGUAAAAUCUGAACGCAAUAACAAGGUGAUAAAAUGAAACGUUUACUUGGACUUGCAAUUGUUCUGUGCUUAGUUUUUAUAUUCAAAGAUGUCAACCAGGUUUUAGAGGCCAAUGGUAUUAUAAACCCAUCUGAAAACACUGCAUUCGUUUUCCCAUUUUCCGCUGGACUCCCUCAACCGUUUAAAGGGCACACUAAAAACAAAA